rnacentral:rRNA from 1 species
UCGGGGGUACUCGAGUGGCGAACGGGUGAGUAACACGUGGGCAAUCUGCCCUGCACUUCGGGAUAAGCCUGGGAAACUGGGUCUAAUACCGGAUAGGACCUUUAGGCGCAUGUCUUUAGGUGGAGAAGCUUUUGCGGUGUGGGAUGGGCCCGCGGCCUAUCAGCUUGUUGGUGGGGUGAUGGCCUACCAAGGCGACGACGGGUAGCCGGCCUGAGAGGGUGUCCGGCCACACUGGGACUGAGAUACGGCCCAGACUCCUACGGGAGGCAGCAGUGGGGAAUAUUGCACAAUGGGCGCAAGCCUGAUGCAGCGACGCCGCGUGGGGGAUGACGGCCUUCGGGUUGUAAACCUCUUUCACCAUCGACGAAGGUUCGGGUUUUCUCGGAUUGACGGUAGGUGGAGAAGAAGCACCGGCCAACUACGUGCCAGCAGCCGCGGUAAUACGUAGGGUGCGAGCGUUGUCCGGAAUUACUGGGCGUAAAGAGCUCGUAGGUGGUUUGUCGCGUUGUUCGUGAAAUCUCACGGCUUAACUGUGAGCGUGCGGGCGAUACGGGCAGACUAGAGUACUGCAGGGGAGACUGGAAUUCCUGGUGUAGCGGUGGAAUGCGCAGAUAUCAGGAGGAACACCGGUGGCGAAGGCGGGUCUCUGGGCAGUAACUGACGCUGAGGAGCGAAAGCGUGGGGAGCGAACAGGAUUAGAUACCCUGGUAGUCCACGCCGUAAACGGUGGGUACUAGGUGUGGGUUUCCUUCCUUGGGAUCCGUGCCGUAGCUAACGCAUUAAGUACCCCGCCUGGGGAGUACGGCCGCAAGGCUAAAACUCAAAGGAAUUGACGGGGGCCCGCACAAGCGGCGGAGCAUGUGGAUUAAUUCGAUGCAACGCGAAGAACCUUACCUGGGUUUGACAUGCACAGGACGCGUCUAGAGAUAGGCGUUCCCUUGUGGCCUGUGUGCAGGUGGUGCAUGGCUGUCGUCAGCUCGUGUCGUGAGAUGUUGGGUUAAGUCCCGCAACGAGCGCAACCCUUGUCUCAUGUUGCCAGCGGGUAAUGCCGGGGACUCGUGAGAGACUGCCGGGGUCAACUCGGAGGAAGGUGGGGAUGACGUCAAGUCAUCAUGCCCCUUAUGUCCAGGGCUUCACACAUGCUACAAUGGCCGGUACAAAGGGCUGCGAUGCCGCAAGGUUAAGCGAAUCCUUUUAAAGCCGGUCUCAGUUCGGAUUGGGGUCUGCAACUCGACCCCAUGAAGUCGGAGUCGCUAGUAAUCGCAGAUCAGCAACGCUGCGGUGAAUACGUUCCCGGGCCUUGUACACACCGCCCGUCACGUCAUGAAAGUCGGUAACACCCGAAGC